GUAAUGCUGAAUCAAAGAAGAGUGACUUCCCUGAAGUACCAUCGGGCUAUGAUACAGAUGCUCCAGGGAAUCAAGGAAACCUUGAUUCUGAAAACCAUUUCCAGUCCCACUCAGAGCAAAAGUCAUUCAGAAUGGUGAACGGCAAGGUGGUAGAGGACAAGGGGGUUAAGACUGACUUCACGGAUGACAACGGAGUAGUUAACAAGAAAACUAAAUACUUUGGCAAUUGAUGGUGCUUCAUAAGCAGAUUUACUUUGUGGUUCUUAGC